rnacentral:miRNA from 1 species
UUAAAGCUACCAACCGACUUC